rnacentral:rRNA from 1 species
AGGGAAUAUUGCGCAAUGGAGGAAACUCUGACGCAGCGACGCCGCGUGAGCGAUGAAGGUUUUCGGAUCGUAAAGCUCUGUCCUUGGGGAAGAAGGUCUUCGGACUUGACGGUACCCAAGAAGAAAGCCCCGGCUAACUACGUGCCAGCAGCCGCGGUAAUACGUAGGGGGCAAGCGUUGUCCGGAAUUAUUGGGCGUAAAGGGUGCGUAGGCGGCCUUUUAAGUCAGAUGUGAAAGCCCGCGGCUUAACUGCGGGAUCGCAUUUGAAACUGGGAGGCUUGAGUAUCGGAGAGGGUAGUGGAAUUCCCAGUGUAGCGGUGAAAUGCGUAGAUAUUGGGAGGAACACCAGUGGCGAAGGCGACUGCCUGGACGAAAACUGACGCUGAGGCACGAAAGCUAGGGGAGCAAAC